rnacentral:rRNA from 1 species
CCUACGGGUGGCAGCAGUGAGGAAUAUUGGUCAAUGGACGAGAGUCUGAACCAGCCAAGUAGCGUGAAGGAUGACUGCCCUAUGGGUUGUAAGCUUCUUUUAUAAAGGAAUACAACGAGGCACGUGUGCCUUUUUGCAUGUACUUUAUGAAUAAGGAUCGGCUAACUCCGUGCCAGCAGCCGCGGUAAUACGGAGGAUCCGAGCGUUAUCCGGAUUUAUUGGGGUUAAAGGGAGCGUAGAUGGGUUGUUAAGUCAGUUGUGAAAGUUUGCGGCUCAACCGUAAAAUUGCAAUUGAUACUGGCAGUCUUGAGUACAGUUGAGGUAAGCGGAAUUCGGGGUGUAGCGGUGAAAUGCUUAGAUAGCACGAAGAACUCCGAUUGCGAAGGCAGCUCACUGGACUGCAACUGACACUGAGGCUCGAAAGUGUGGGUAUCAAACAGGAUUAGAUACCCUUGUAGUC